UGGGGAAUUUUGGACAAUGGGGGAAACCCUGAUCCAGCCAUCCCGCGUGUGCGAUGAAGGCCUUCGGGUUGUAAAGCACUUUUGGCAGGAAAGAAACGUCAUGGGUUAAUACCCCGUGAAACUGACGGUACCUGCAGAAUAAGCACCGGCUAACUACGUGCCAGCAGCCGCGGUAAUACGUAGGGUGCAAGCGUUAAUCGGAAUUACUGGACGUAAAGCGUGCGCAGGCGGUUCGGAAAGAAAGAUGUGAAAUCCCAGAGCUCAACUUUGGAACUGCAUUUUUAACUACCGGGCUAGAGUGUGUCAGAGGGAGGUGGAAUUCCGCGUGUAGCAGUGAAAUGCGUAGAUAUGCGGAGGAACACCGAUGGCGAAGGCAGCCUCCUGGGAUAACACUGACGCACAUGCACGAAAGCGUGGGGAGCAAACAGG
rnacentral:rRNA from 1 species